CACCGCGGUUAUACGAGAGGCCCAAGCUGACAGACCCUCGGCGUAAAGCGUGGUUAAUAAUCAGUCAAAUUAAAGCCGAAUUCUUCCUAAGCUGUUAUACGUUCUCGGAAGAUAGAAGCCCUACUACGAAAGUGGCUUUAAAAAUUUGAACCCACGAAAGCUAAGAUA
rnacentral:rRNA from 1 species